AUUGAACGCUGGCGGCAUGCUUUACACAUGCAAGUCGAACGGCAGCGGGGUAGUGCUUGCACUACUGCCGGCGAGUGGCGAACGGGUGAGUAAUAUAUCGGAACGUACCGAGUAAUGGGGGAUAACCAAUCGAAAGAUUGGCUAAUACCGCAUACGUCCUGAGGGAGAAAGCGGGGGAUCGCAAGACCUCGCGUUAUUCGAGCGGCCGAUAACUGAUUAGCUAGUUGGUGGGGUAAAGGCCUACCAAGGCGACGAUCAGUAGCGGGUCUGAGAGGACGAUCCGCCACACUGGGACUGAGACACGGCCCAGACUCCUACGGGAGGCAGCAGUGGGGAAUGUUGGACAAUGGGGGCAACCCUGAUCCAGCCAUGCCGCGUGUAUGAAGAAGGCCUUCGGGUUGUAAAGUACUUUUGUUAGGGAAGAAAAGGGAAGUGCUAAUACCACUUUUUGCUGACGGUACCUAAAGAAUAAGCACCGGCUAACUACGUG
rnacentral:rRNA from 1 species